GUAGGGAAUAUUGGACAAUGGGCGAAAGCCUGAUCCAGCCAUGCCGCGUGAGUGAUGAAGGCCCUAGGGUUGUAAAGCUCUUUCGCCAGGGACGAUAAUGACGGUACCUGGAUAAGAAGCCCCGGCUAACUUCGUGCCAGCAGCCGCGGUAAUACGAAGGGGGCUAGCGUUGUUCGGAAUCACUGGGCGUAAAGCGCAUGCAGGCGGAUCGCUAAGUCGGGGGUGAAAUCCCGAGGCUCAACCUCGGAACUGCCUUCGAUACUGGCGAUCUUCGAGUCCGGGAGAGGUGAGUGGAACUCCGAGUGUAGAGGUGAAAUUCGUAGAUAUUCGGAAGAACACCAGUGGCGAAGGCGGCUCACUGGCCCGGUACUGACGCUGAGAUGCGAAAGCGUGGGGAGCAAACAGG
rnacentral:rRNA from 1 species